UGGCUCAAAGGAGUAGGGUGCUGGCCCCAUAUGCCAGAGGUGGCAGGUUCAAACCCUGC
rnacentral:tRNA from 1 species